ensembl:lncRNA
CAGUUUCCUGAGGAGUGGACUAAGCAUGUUCGGAUAUGCACAUUCUCUUCCCAGCGUUGCCGUGUGAUAUCAGAAUGCAAAGUCCACGGGUUCCCCAUUUGACGUGGCAGCAGUUUCCUAUCUUCCCUUUGUAUCAGUCUCAUCUGAAUUUGGAGUCUCGUUUAGCGGCACGACCGGAGGUUCUUACAACCUCGCGGACGCCCCUGGACCACCGCGUUCACGUGGGUAAACAUAUCAUACCGAUUCCCAAUGACUGCCAGCAGUGAUAUCUCAAAGCCCUUGUAAUGCAAACUCUGGGCAUGUGUACAUUUUUGGAGAUUCCAUUUUCAGUCCCGCCCCGGUGCUCUUGACAGGUAGCGGCCGCAUGAGAGGACAGUUUGUCCUGCAGAGCUUCGCUGGCUGCAGGGCCCCAUGUUUGGCUUGGAUGCCAAUGAAUAACAUUGUAUGGAGGGAGGAAAUUAAAAAUGCAGGGUUGUAAUUUACUGGGGAGUGGAACUGAUUUAAAAGCUUUUUUUUUUCUCUCUCCCGCUGCCGCUUUAAUUCAAGUUUUCCAAACAUGCCACAUCUGAGUGUGAACUGAGCUUCGUUGUGCUGGCAACAACAAGCCAGGCAACUCUGCCAGCGCUCCCUACCUUACCCCCGCUUCCCGUUACCUCUCAGCAAAGACGGGAGCAUGCUACGGUAAGCUUCCAUGAGAUCCCAAUGCCUAACCGAUCUCACAUCUCAAAUAAAAUGGGCCUUUAAAGACGUUGCCCCCUUUUGCACUUGGACCAUGUGUGCGCUAUUUGCGAGCUAGCCAGAGCAAUGACUGAUGUCACGAGCAACACGUUUGGAUUAUGAGCACUGGUGGCCUGCCUGUGGUCGCUGUGGGCGGUUCCCCGGUGUGACACAGCGUUUUAUGUUUCCUCUCCGUUAUCUCCUCACUGUGUGUGGAAGAAUUGCACAUUAAGACUGAGUUCAUCACCCUGGCCGGCUGCUGAGUGAAAAGAAACUGCACUUCUGGAUUUUUUUUUUUUUUUUACGACUUUCUCCCUUUUUAUAAACCUCAAAUUUGCUGCUGGGUAACUCAACCACUUCCUCCCUUCCUGUGAGAUCAGGGCAGCCGGGCAGAGCGAAGGCAAGCAGCGCAGGGGCUGCUGUGGCUUGCAAACAGCUGGCACGGGACUCACUACACCUUCUGCACCUGUGGGUGGGCGUCAACACUGUCGGCUAAACAAACACGGCCGUCGUCCAACUCUCACCGCGGCGGUGAAGGGGGAAUGGAAUCAGAGCGCCACCUGCAGCCGAGGAGGCCAAAAAAGCAGGACGUUGGUGUUGACCCCUCCUGAGGCUGUGGUGUGAGGACUAAACGAGAGCCCGCCGCUUUGGUUGUAGAUUAAUUAUUUUCAGAGCUCCAGGAUGUGCUGCAACGUUUUAUUGGGUCCACUCCUACUCCUGUCCUGCAGAGGGCGAUGUUGCCCUGAUUUCAGGCUCUGCCCCGGCCCGAGCUGCUGUGUGUGAGGCCUUUUUCCUAAUUGGUGCCUUUUAACAAGCCGAUGAAAAUCCAUCGCUAUAUCCCCCCCAUGGCCUUGAAACGUAUAUCAAAGACUUUGUCCUAUGACGAUGAAUGGGGGGGGGGGGGGGUUUGGGCCUCGUGAGCCCACGCGAGUGCCUGGUAGAACAUCAACUUCCAGGGAAGAAGUGUAAACUAAAUGGAUGAAGCGGAUCUGUUUGCCUAAAACAAACACAAGGUGGAAAUGUGCCUCCGUUACGGUCACAUGGAAAACGUUAGGUCUGCAGGGGCGCACACCGGCGGGAUUUUCCUAAAACAAGGGCAAGAGAGUCGAUGGGCCAGAUACGUACGGAGCGAGCGAGUAGAGAAGCGGAACGUCCAGAGAGGAGUGCCACUUUCCACGGGUCUGCCGUGGGUAUGUGGAGCUGGCAGGGCCCAAACCGAGAGAAUGAUGCUGGGGAACUUGUUGCUGAGGAAGGAUCGCUCGUUCUGUUCUCCCGGACUCACUCUCUCUCUCUUCGUCCCUUCGUUGCUUCUUCGCUGCUUCCUUUUCCCUUCUCGCAGCCCGAAUGUGCUGAUGUGUGUCCGGGAAAAGAAGGCACCAACAGCCCUGCAGAGAAUGGGAGAUUUCCCAGCUCGUUACCAUGAUGACACGGCUUUUUCUGUUCCUCGAUGGAGCCCAGAACAAUAGUGGAUUAAGCUGAAACACAGACAUUCUGCUGGAAUAAAAAUUUUCGGGGAAAAACGUCUGGAAAAAGCCCAUUUUAGGGGGGUUGGAGUAGUAGAGUUCAAAUAAACACGUUACAGUAUUAACUUAACUUAAAAAAAUCUAUAAAAUAAGUUUAAUAAUAGAUAUUAUUGUGCCAGAGUUUCAUCCAAGAUUAACA